AUAAAUAGAGGUCGAGUUAAAAGAAAGGUACUAUGGAGCACCUAAGUGUUAACAACACAAAUAAAAAUUUCCAUCAAGUGAUCCUCACGGAGAAAAGUUAGGAACGAAACAUUAAUAGCAUCAACAAGAAGAUAAUACAGUAUUAAUAUAGUAUCUGCGAGAACUGCAACUUCUAGAAUUAAGAAUGCACUUGCAUCUGUGCUUGUAAGAAUCUUACACGAUAAAAGAGACGAACUCUAGAUAAGCUGUGGAAUCACACAACACUUUUACCAUCCGCGUGAUCCAAGGGACUUGAUGAGAGGCCCUAACGCCUGAUCCACAGCUUUGUUCCAUAGGUGUGCAAACUCUAUGCCAGACUCCUUUUUCGGAAUGUACACUGUUGUCUGAGAUUGAGGGGAAAAUCUAGAUUGAUGCUCAGCGAUGCUCUUAUAUAUGCUUUUCCGUUGUUCAAACACCAUAACGCUUGCCACUACGGUACCUAAUGCAGCACCGAGAAGACGCUCCUGAGUAAGGAUGCUGAUCAUCCUUGCGAUUGAAUUUUCGCACAGUUCAAAGAGUUGAAUUUGCAGACGCCUCUCUCAAAUUUCUUUCGAG
rnacentral:misc_RNA from 1 species